GACGAACGCUGGCGGCGUGCUUAACACAUGCAAGUCGAACGGAAAGGCCCUGCUUUUGUGGGGUGCUCGAGUGGCGAACGGGUGAGUAACACGUGAGUAACCUGCCCUUGACUUUGGGAUAACUUCAGGAAACUGGGGUUAAUACCGGAUAGGAGCUCCUGCUGCAUGGUGGGGGUUGGAAAGUUUCGGCGGUUGGGGAUGGAUUCGCGGCUUAUCAGCUUGUUGGUGGGGUAGUGGGUUACCAAGGCUCUGACGGGUAUCCGGCCUGAGAGGGUGGCCGGCCACAUUGGGACUGAGAUACGGCCCAGACUCCUACAGGAGGCAGCAGUGGGGAGUAUUGCACAAUGGGCGGAAGCCUGAUGCAGCAGCGCCGCGUGCGGGAUGACGGCCUUCGGGCUGUAAACCGCGUUCGCCUGUGACGAAGCGUGAGUGACGGUAAUGGGUAAAGAAGCACCGGCUAACUACGUG
rnacentral:rRNA from 1 species